AGGAAAAUCACCCAGUCUUAAUUUUUUUGUCUUUAAUUUUAUUCAAUACAGAAUAAAUUCAAACUUUGCAUAUUCUUCUACCUGUCAUGUCACUAUGAUCUCCCAAUAUUAUCCUAGUAUUAUCUCCCAAUAUAUCCCUGCUGAUACCUCUUCUAGAACCAUGUGUGCCUCUGUCAUACACUCCUUCCUUUUCCAUCCCCCACUUCUUAUUCGCCAAGUCCUGCAUCAUCAAGAAGCAUUUUCUUCCUCUUAUGCUCCUUUUGAAUCUCUUUUAAACCACUGGAGCCCAAAUGAAAGGCAACCUCUUCCACAAAGCAUACUAGGAUUGUUCUAAGGAAAGAGUAAGUUUCAAGACGUCAGGAAGCUCUGAGUUAGGCUAGAACUUUUACAAAGCAGCCUCUCAAUUCUAUCUAUUGGUGUUAAUCAGAUUUUGCUGGAAGCCCUUAAUAUGCUCCAGGUUUUUAAAUGGUCCAAUUUGCCCUCUACCCUCACUAGAACACUGUACUGAACCUUAAUUGUGUAUUUCUCAAAAGUAAGAUUCUUUUUUUUUCUGCUUCCUAUCCCUUCUGGAAAUUGAAGGACACCUUUUCCACUCCAAUGACUAGUUGAAAAAGGCCAGUAAAAAGAGAUGAGCCAAGAGAAAGAGAUUGAGAGAGAGAAAGAGAGAGAGAGAACACCUCAUUAUCAGGAAGCAGAAAUGGAAAUUGACAGAAAAUCAAGCCCUGGGUUUAGCAAGGAAUUUCCACUCGCCUAGAGGAAACGGGGGUGCAGGGUGGGGUCGAGUGGGGUUUGUGUGUGUACUUGCAGUGGUAGGUGCUCAGAGCUGAGCAACAAAUUAAAGGCGGGAACAGAGCACCCAACUCCUGCCUGAAGGGGAAUCCAGAUGCCACUUUUUGGAGGCUCUCUCAUCCUAAGAAGGAGCCUGCGCUGGGUGGUGGGGAGAGGGGCGGGUGGAGGUAGGAAAUAAGAGAAGAGUUGGGAGGAGGGGGGACGUGCUUGUGCUUUGGAUGCUAAGGCAACUGGUGCCUGCCCCCCAACUCCAGUCAAGGCACCCACCACCCAUGAAGAAGCGGGCUGGGCGGAGUUAGGCGCCAAAGAUUGCGGCCCCGGAAGCACCCUCCUCCCUAGACCCCCUCGGUCCCACAGUCCCCGGCCACUGCCACUCGGGCUUUCUGCCUCGCUGACCUCCAGCUCCCCGGCUACCGAAGCGCUACUCCUUAAACAGCCGCGGAAAAUCGGACCCGCUCGGAAGUUCCUGGACCCGGAGUGCCCUCAGGGUGGGGUGUGCCCCACAACUGUCUUCCCAACCGUGCACCUUCUACUAGAUGGCCUAGGCCAGGCAAUGGGGCCCAAUAGCUGGACUCUAACCUACCAGAGCCCUGAGCCUUGAGAGUCCGAGUCUGACUGGUGAAGAGAAGUUUGAAGUCUUUCAGAAGACCUAGGUUUGUUUCCCGGAAUACAUAUAGUGAGUGACUCAUAACUGUGUUUAACUGCAGUUCCGGGGGUAUCCAAAUGUCCUAUUUUGGCCUCCAAGUGCACCAGGAACAAAUGUGGAUGACUAAACAUCAGUAAUAUUUGUAUAAUAUUUGCAUAAUUUAUUCGGAUAAAACAUAUGUAUUAAAAUUAAAAUAUAGUGUUUGUAGAGUCAUAGUUUUGCUAUGUAUCUAAGGCUAGCAUUAAACUCAUGAUUCUCUAUA